AUGACAUCAAAGACCUCAAAUCAGGUAGGACUACCCGCUGAACUUAAGCAU
rnacentral:rRNA from 1 species